GACGAACGCUGGCGGCGUGCUUAACACAUGCAAGUCGAACGGAAAGGCCCUGCUUUUGUGGGGUGCUCGAGUGGCGAACGGGUGAGUAACACGUGAGUAACCUGCCCUUGACUUUGGGAUAACUUCAGGAAACUGGGGCUAUUACCGGAUAGGAGCUCCUGCUGCAUGGUGGGGGUUGGAAAGUUUCGGCGGUUGGGGAUGGACUCGCGGCUUAUCAGCUUGUUGGUGGGGUAGUGGCUUACCAAGGCUUUGACGGGUAGCCGGCCUGAGAGGGUGACCGGCCACAUUGGGACUGAGAUACGGCCCAGACUCCUACGGGAGGCAGCAGUGGGAAAUAUUGCACAAUGGGCGGGAGCCUGAUACAGCAACGCCGCGUGCGGGAUGACGGCCUUCGGGUUGUAAACCGCUUUCGCCUGUGACGAAGCGUGAGUGACGGUAAUGGGUAAAGAAGCACCGGCUAACUACGUG
rnacentral:rRNA from 1 species